rnacentral:rRNA from 1 species
CUACACGGGUAUCUAAUCCUGUUUGCUCCCCACGCUUUCGCACCUCAGCGUCAAUAUGUGUCCAGUGAGUCGCCUUCGCCACUGGUGUUCUUCCGAAUAUCUACGAAUUUCACCUCUACACUCGGAAUUCCACUCACCUCUCCACAAUUCUAGCGAUGCAGUUUUAAAGGCAAUUCCGGAGUUGAGCUCCGGGCUUUCACCUCUAACUUGCAAAGCCGCCUACGUGCGCUUUACGCCCAGUAAUUCCGAACAACGCUAGCCCCCUCCGUAUUACCGCGGCUGCUGGCAC